rnacentral:rRNA from 1 species
AUUGAACGCUGGCGGCAGGCCUAACACAUGCAAGUCGAGCGGAGCGGCGGACGGGUGAGUAAUGCCUAGGAAUCUGCCUGGCCGUGGGGGAUAACGUCCGGAACCGGGCGCUAAUACCGCAUACUAUCAGAUGAGCCUAGGUCGGAUUAGCUAGUUGGUGGGGUAAAGGCAUACCAAGGCGACGAUCCGUAACUGGGCUGAGAGGAUGAUCAGGCACACUGGACAGGAGCCACGGUCCAGACUCCUACGGGAGGCGGCGGUGGGGAAUAUUGGACAGUGGGCUGAAGCCUGAUCUAGCCAUGCCGCGUGUGUGAAGAAGGUCUUCGGAUUGUGAAGCACUUUAAGUUGGGAGGCGUUACCAACAGAAUAAGCACCGGCUAACUCCGUGCCAGCAGCCGCGGUAAUUC